UGGUGGAGUGAUUUGUCUGCUUAAUUGCGGUAACGAACGAGACCUUAACCUGCUAAAUAGCCAGGCCCGCUUUGGCGGGUCGCCGGCUUCUUAGAGGGACUAUCGGCUCAAGCCGAUGGAAGUUUGAGGCAAUAACA
rnacentral:rRNA from 1 species